AUUGAACGCUGGCGGCAGGCCUAACACAUGCAAGUCGAGCGGAUGAAGGGAGCUUGCUCCUGGAUUCAGCGGCGGACGGGUGAGUAAUGCCUAGGAAUCUGCCUGGUAGUGGGGGAUAACGUCCGGAAGCGGGCGCUAAUACCGCAUACGUCCUGAGGGAGAAAGUGGGGGAUCUUCGGACCUCACGCUAUCAGAUGAGCCUAGGUCGGAUUAACUAGUUGGUGGGGUAAAGGCCUACCAAGGCGACGAUCCGUAACUGGUCUGAGAGGAUGAUCAGUCACACUGGAACUGAGACACGGUCCAGACUCCUACGGGAGGCAGCAGUGGGGAAUAUUGGACAAUGGGCGAAAGCCUGAUCCAGCCAUGCCGCGUGUGUGAAGAAGGUCUUCGGAUUGUAAAGCACUUUAAGUUGGGAGGAAGGGCAGUAAGUUAAUACCUUGCUGUUUUGACGUUACCAACAGAAUAAGCACCGGCUAACUUCGUG
rnacentral:rRNA from 1 species